ensembl:lncRNA
GGACUGAUGACGGCACGCGGCUUCUGCAGGCAGAAGAACCGCCGGUUCUGACGUGAAGUCAUAGCAAAAGGACAUCGUACCAACUUGCCUCCCGUUCCGAAAAAAUAAGUUACUUGUUGGGCUCUGGGGUGUAAUUUAUCAGAAGGUGUGGUGAGGCAACUGAGAAAAGAUACACCAACAAAAAACAUCGAACCUAGUUUCCCGCCGAAAAAAUCUGCAAACGGUUGACGUCGUUGGUCGGAUUCGACGAUCGCAAACCCUGGACCGAAGACUUUGCGGAAACAGUUGCAGAUUUCCGCUUUUUAACCGUUUGCACACCGCACAUGUGGUCAUACCCGCAUGGUCAUGACAACCUCUUGGUCCACCUAAGGUCAGAGGUCGGGAAACAACCGACGCACCUAACUUGUCGGCUGGCUGACUGGUUCUCUGGCUGUACAGUGAAGCAGCAGGCCAGAAGUCAUGCAGAGCCUGGAUCCAGCUGAGGGUCUAAAGGGGGAACCUCCAUGCCCCCCCAUUCCGUAGAGAGGCAGGAGGAGCAGGAGGAGCAGCAGGAGGAGGAGGAGGAGGAGCAGCAGCAGGAGGAGGAGGGGCAGGAGGAGCAGCAGGAGGAGGAGGAGGAGCAGGAGGAGCAGGAGGAGGAGGAGGAGGAGCAGGAGGAGCAGGAGGAGCA